rnacentral:rRNA from 1 species
UACAGAGGUCUCAAGCGUUGUUCGGAUUCAUUGGGCGUAAAGGGCUCGUAGGCGGCCAACUAAGUCGGAUGUGAAAUCCCCAGGCUCAACCUGGGAACUGCAUCCGAUACUGGAUGGCUUGAAUCCGGGAGAGGGAUGCAGAAUUCCAGGUGUAGCGGUGAAAUGCGUAGAUAUCUGGAGGAAUACCGGUGGCGAAGGCGGCAUCCUGGACCGGCAUUGACGCUGAGGAGCGAAAGCUAGGGGAGCAAACGGG